CUACGGGUUGCAGCAGUGGGGAAUAUUGCACAAUGGGGGAAACCCUGAUGCAGCAACGCCGCGUGGAGGAUGACGCAUUUCGGUGUGUAAACUCCUUUUAUAUGUCAAGAAAAUGACGGUAGCAUAUGAAUAAGCACCGGCUAACUCCGUGCCAGCAGCCGCGGUAAUACGGAGGGUGCAAGCGUUACUCGGAAUCACUGGGCGUAAAGGACGCGUAGGCGGGUUGGAAAGUCAGGUGUGAAAUCCUACAGCUUAACUGUAGAACUGCACUUGAAACUUCUAAUCUAGAGUAUGGGAGGGGGAGAUGGAAUUAGUGGUGUAGGGGUAAAAUCCGUAGAUAUCACUAGGAAUACCUGAAGCGAAGGCGAUCUCCUGGAACAUUACUGACGCUAAGGCGUGAAAGCGUGGGGAGCAAACAGGAUUAGAUACCCCGGUAGUC
rnacentral:rRNA from 1 species